UACAGAGGGUGCAAGCGUUUAAUCGGAAUUACUGGGCGUAAAGCGUGCGCAGGCGGUUAUGUAAGACAGAUGUGAAAUGCCCGGGCUUAACCUGGGAACUGCAUUUGUGACUGCAUGGCUAGAGUUUGGCAGAGGGGGGGUGAGAAUUCCACGUGUAGCAGUGAAAUGCGUAGAUAUGUGGAGGAACACCGAUGGCGAAGGCAGCCCCCUGGGUCAAGACUGACGCUCAUGCAC
rnacentral:rRNA from 1 species